GUGGGGAAUAUUGCGCAAUGGGCGAAAGCCUGACGCAGCGACGCCGCGUGAGGGAUGACUGCCUUCGGGUUGUAAACCUCUUUCGGUAGGGAUGAAGCCUUCGGGUGACAGUACCUGCAGAAGAAGCACCGGCUAACUACGUGCCAGCAGCCGCGGUAACACGUAGGGUGCGAGCGUUGUCCGGAAUUAUUGGGCGUAAAGAGCUCGUAGGCGGUCCGUCACGUCGGAUGUGAAAUUCCAGGGCUCAACCCUGGACCUGCAUUCGAUACGGGCGGACUAGAGUUCGGUAGGGGAGACUGGAAUUCCUGGUGUAGCGGUGAAAUGCGCAGAUAUCAGGAGGAACACCGGUGGCGAAGGCGGGUCUCUGGGCCGAUACUGACGCUGAGGAGCGAAAGCGUGGGGAGCGAACAGGAUUAGAAACCCCAGUAGUCC
rnacentral:rRNA from 1 species